GCAGAGAGUAUUAUCUUAUUUAAACCAUAGUUUUAAGAUUAAACAUAAACUGGUAGAAGCAGAACCAAUACCAAUUACAGCACAACCCUAGAACUAGACCCACAGUAAGCAAGCAGUAACUGAUAGAUUAAAAUUAAAAACAAAGCCAAAAACGGCGACUUAAAUAUAGAUAAACUAGAUCAUCAUCAACGUCCUCAGAUCUAGCAGAGUUGACCACAGUCAGCAAUCACAACAGGCUUGGAGCACCUGCCAGAUCCAGAUCCAACAGCCUCAGCCUUCUUAAUCACAUCAUAGCCUUCAACAACUUGACCGAACACAACAUGCUUGCCAUCGAGCCACUCAGUCUUAGCGGUGCAGAUGAAGAAUUGAGAACCGUUGGUUCCAGGUCCAGCAUUAGCCAUGGAGAGGAUUCCAGGACCGGUGUGCUUUCUUUUGAAGUUCUCGUCGGCGAAUUUGGCGCCGUAGAUUGACUCACCUCCGGUACCGUUUCCGGCGGUGAAAUCACCUCCUUGACACAUGAACCCUGGGAUCACACGGUGGAAGGUUGAGCCUUUGUAGUGCAAAGGCUUGCCCAUCCUUCCGACGCCUUUCUCGCCGGUGCAGAGAGCACGGAAGUUCUCC
rnacentral:lncRNA from 1 species